AAAUAUCGUCAUUUUCUUGAAGGUCAAUCAUUAUUCAUGCUUUGAAGUUCAGUAUAAGCAAUGUGUUUUCUAGGAACAUUAUUUUUUGUUAAACUGAUGGAUCUUCGUUUAUUAUUUGGAGCCGUUGAUGUUCCAGUUGCAUACAACAGUAAGAGCUAAGAGAAUUCUAUGUACAUAGAAUUUUAUCAUACAAACUUCUCAGACGAGUGGAUUAUUUCUAUCAGGGAAAAUGGAAUCAUCUUAUCACAGGAAUUGUAUAUAAUUCAAGUACUUUAUUGAAGCAUUUUGGAGGAACACAGGAAUGUAGGAAUAUCUACAAUAAAAUGAUAAAAAAAUAAAAUAUUCAUGCCAAAUUUUAUAAUAAUUAAAUAAAAUAAUAAAUAUAUAUUAAUAGCUAUGUAUAUUAAUAAAAAAUAUAAUAGCUUAUAAUGACAAUCACAACAAUAAAAAUAAUUAGGAUUUCUAAAGAAAAAAAGUGACAGCGGCAAUAAUUUGAAUAAUGCAAGGAUAACAAACAUUUAAUCAAAAAAAAGCUUCAAUCAAACAAUUACUGCUGAAGUAAUGGAUGUAAGGAAGUGGUAAGAUUUGAAAGUAGCUAGUAGAUAGAGCACAAAGACCUAAAUUGUCAAAGUGAACGUCGAGAAGUAGUUGGCUGGCAAGCCUUGCACACUUGACUAGAAAAAAAACCUAUCAAACUAGCCUUUCAUUGUUACAAAUAUCUAGGCUCUAAAUGUUUAUGUUUUUUUGUACAAUAUUUACAUUAAAUAAUCACUGAUGCAGUUCA